AACGCAACGCUUUGAAAGGCUCAACAUCAUCUUCAUCGACCCCCCAUUCCCUCCGAGCGACGAACUGAACAUACACCGGGUCGGGUUAUCGGGUGCACAAUUUCUCGGGUGCACAAUUUCUCGGGUCCUCGUCCUCGUGCACAAUUUACAAUCUGAACCGCCCAAGUCCAGGUUUCUCACCCGAAUUCAACAAAAGGCGUCGUAAUCUGAAACAGGUGGAAAUGAGGGAUUUUUGAUCGUCAAUGUUGGUGGUUUUUGGGCAUUGUAUGAGUUUUGGAUUCAGUUGAACAGUUGAGGAUCCUAUGUUAAGGAUCCACUGCAUGAUAGACUAGUUAUAUCGAAAAUGUCUUUGUGUUCGAAUGAGCAGUCAAUUGGAGUUGGGUGUAUUAGUGGUCAGAAGGUUGCUGUGGAUAGGGAGAACUUGAAUGGGCAUGAUGAGAGUGUUUUGAGAUGCGAGGAGGAAGAGGAUGAGGAUGAGGAGGAAGAUGUGGAUUUCAAUCCUUUUCUUAAAGGAGCUGUUUCGCCGGAGGCUUCUUCGAGUCUGAGCUCCGAAGUGGAGGGUAUAGAUGGUGAAGUUGAUGACGUCGGCAGAAACAAUGGCGUUGACUCGUUGAAUGUAGGUUGUGAGGGGGAGACGCGUGCUGCUGAAGAUUCUGAGCAUGGGGAGCAAGAAAUGGUGAUGCAAACUGCUGCUGCUUCUUCUGAAGAUGUGUCGGAAAAUGAAUUAGGGAACUUUGAUUCCGGAAUUGAACAUGUGGAAGAAAAGGAUGAUGGCUCAAGUUUGGGACCUGAUGUUAAUCAUGUUACUGAAGGUCAGUUGAGUAGCAAACAAAGCAGACACCAGGACGUCCACAAUAGAUCUAGAUGAUGAGGCUGAAGAUGCUAUCUGUAAACGCACACGGGCCUGCUAUUCCUUAGCAAGUUUCACUCUUGAUGAACUUGAAACUUUUCUUCAAGAAACAGACGAUGAUGACAACCUCCAAAAUAUUGAUGAUGGAGAAGAGUACAGGAAAUUUCUCACUGCUGUUUUACAUGGUGGAGAAGGUGAUAACUGAUAACCAGUUGACUAAAGAAAAUGAAAAUGCUGCUGAUGAUGAAGAUGAGGAGAAUGAUGCAGACUUUGAAUUAAAACUAGAAGAGCUUCUUGAUAGUGAUGUGGAUGAAAAUACAAGGGAUAAAAGUAUAGUGUAUGAGGGAGCUGGGAGGCGACCAAAGACUCGACAGAAUAGAAAGUUCCCUGCUGGGUCUAAGUAGAGUUUAGGACAGACAAAGACGUCAUUGCGUCCCCUUUUACCAGUUUUGCCACAUGGACCAAUUUCCACUUUUUAUACUCAUGACACGAGAACUUUAAUACCUGGGAUUGCUUCAAGCUGUAUGUCUUCUACAAUGGAUGAUCGUUCUAAAAGUGGAUUCACUGCUCACCAGAUAGGCCAGUUGUACCAUUUGGUCCAUGAACAUGUGCAGCUGCUUAUUCAAGUAUUUUCUCUGUGUGUACUUGAUAACUCCAGGCAACAUAUUGCCUCUCAGGUUCAGAGAUUGAUCUGUGAGAUGCUCCACAAGCGUGAUGAAGUACUGGCAUGGAAAAAUGUACCAUAUCCAAACAUUUGCUUUUGCCCAUCAAUGCCAACUGAAACACCUCAAUCCUACCCGAUACAAAGCACUUUAGUGUCAUCCCACACAUCUGAUGCGCAUGCAGCGUCUUCUCCUUCCAAUAAGCAGAUGUUAGUUUCCCCAAAUGUCUCUCCUUUCUGGGUGCCUUCUGUAAAUGGCCCUGUGCUAUCUGUCCUGGAUGUAGCUCCACUUAGUUUGAUUGGGAGAUACACGGAUGAUAUUGAUACUGCUGUCCAGGGGAAUCGACGGCGUUUCAAGGAAACUAUUUCUGAUAUUUGCCUUGAAAAAGAGCCUUUGUUUCCCCUUCCUAACUUCCCAUCAUGUGCUCAAGCCUGUGAAGUUGUAAGUGGGAUGGGUUCCUCAGCUGUCAAUGUGGUUCCAUCUUCACCUAGUCAACCACCAAAGAAGUCACUGGCUACAGCAAUUGUUGAAAGUACCAAGAAGCAAUCAAGUGCUUUAGUCCCAAGGGAAAUCGCAAACUUGGCCCAGAGAUUUUAUCCUCUGUUCAAUCCAGCAUUAUAUCCCCAUAAGCCACCCCGCGCCCCCCUGCAGCUGUCACAUCGGGUGCUUUACACUGAUGCAGAAGAUGAAUUAUUAGCAUUGGGGUUAAUGGAAUAUAAUACUGAUUGGAAGGCAAUCCAACAACGUUUUCUUCCUUGCAAAUCUAAGCACCAGUGCCUGUAGAUGCUUGCUUUGGUGUCAAAUCACAUAUUUUCCCCAGAUCUGGAGCAUUGUCAUUGCCAGCAAUAAUCUGUUGAUUCUCUUUAGGAGUACUCCGUGAGCUCAUGACAUCUACACCUCUGGGCUUUUGGAACCCUUGUUGCUUGAAAGAGAUACCAGCUGGUAGAACUUGUGUUAUGCUGAAAG